rnacentral:rRNA from 1 species
AUUGAACGCUGGCGGCAGGCCUAACACAUGCAAGUCGAACGGUAACAGGAAGAAGCUUGCUUCUUUGCUGACGAGUGGCGGACGGGUGAGUAAUGUCUGGGAAACUGCCUGAUGGAGGGGGAUAACUACUGGAAACGGUAGCUAAUACCGCAUAACGUCGCAAGACCAAAAAGGGGGACCUUCGGGCCUCUUGCAAUCGGAUGUGCCCAGAUGGGAUUAGCUAGUAGGUGGGGUAACGGCUCACCUAGGCGACGAUCCCUAGCUGGUCUGAGAGGAUGACCAGCCACACUGGAACUGAGACACGGUCCAGACUCCUACGGGAGGCAGCAGUGGGGAAUAUUGCACAAUGGGCGCAAGCCUGAUGCAGCCAUGCCGCGUGUAUGAAGAAGGCCUUCGGGUUGUAAAGUACUUUCAGCGGGGAGGAAGGGAGUAAAGUUAAUACCUUUGCUCAUUGACGUUACCCGCAGAAGAAGCACCGGCUAACUCCGUG